rnacentral:rRNA from 1 species
GUGGGGAAUAUUGCACAAUGGGCGAAAGCCUGAUGCAGCAACGCCGCGUGAGGGACGACGGCCUUCGGGUUGUAAACCUCUUUUAGUAGGGAAGAAGCGAAAGUGACGGUACCUGCAGAAAAAGCACCGGCUAACUACGUGCCAGCAGCCGCGGUAAUACGUAGGGUGCAAGCGUUAUCCGGAAUUAUUGGGAGUAAAGAGCUCGUAGGCGGUCUGUCGCGUCUGCUGUGAAAACUGGAGGCUCAACCUCCAGCCUGCAGUGGGUACGGGCAGACUAGAGUGCGGUAGGGGAGAUUGGAAUUCCUGGUGUAGCGGUGGAAUGCGCAGAUAUCAGGAGGAACACCGAUGGCGAAGGCAGAUCUCUGGGCCGUAACUGACGCUGAGGAGCGAAAGCGUGGGGAGCGAACAGGAUUAGAUACCCGUGUAGUCC